AACGUGUUUAUCUGCUUGGCCAGUCGUUUUGGGACCUAUUCCGGUUAAAAAAAAAAAAAAUGUGAGGAAAAACGGUUCUGGAGAGCAUGAGGGAGAAAAUACAACCGAACUGCCGGGAAACGUUUAACCGUACAGAAAAAGAGAAUAGCUACUGCUCUUUACAGCAGCCCCUAGACAUCCCACGGCAGCUAAAAGACUUGAAGAAGCCAGCGAGCCAGUCAGAUAAAUAUAAAGAGAGAGUGGGAAAGGAGGAAAAGAGCGAGACGUUAUUUAUUGAUAAGACCUACUCGAUUGAUAUGCAGUGACGUGAUAGCAGUUCUCGCAAGGAAUCCCAAAAAUAUCAAUGAACUCAGAAGUGUAAGGAUGAAUCUUCUCAAAUUGGUGUGCUAAUCUGCUUAGCUGCUACAGGAUAUGUUCAGUGGAAGUUGAUGCUGCCAAAAUAAGGUUAUAAAGAAGAGUUAACCCCAAAAUCCAGAUUUGGUACUUUGGCAAGUCUGAGCACAGUUUGAGAGACUGUUGAGAUCUCUUCUGGAACUCUGGAAAAAAGCAGAUGAGACACAUCUGAGAAUCAGGAAACCUAUGCAAAAACCUCAAUUUGCACUCCAUUUGACAUCAUUGGAGAUCUUGGGGAAACAGUUGAGAUAUUAGAGAGAUGUCCUAUGUGGUUUUUCCAUCAAGUGCUGUGCUAUUUAUCCUCUAUCUGAACAAUAGAGGUAAGUCAGCUGAGAAACUCAUCAAGGAGAACUUUUCCCCCUCAAAACAGGAGGGCCCAUCCAGCAGCCUUUAAUCAAUACAGGAAACAUGAACUUCAGGGGACACGAGGAACCUCUGACCGCAGAUGAAGAUUAACCACCGCUGCCUCGGACAUGUUGUGCCCGUCUUCAUUUCUACAAGCUCCGGCUACCAACAGAUCCAUCUAUCACCAGUGAUCAGAUGCUGUUUUUCUAACCAAGCAAUGCAGGGUGACAUGUACAGUAUUUUCCUCAAUAGUCCUAGGUGAGCUUCUGUAUCAUAAAUCACAUCAGACAAAGCCCAGCUUGACCUCUAAAUGGGGGAGAUAUCGUCGUAUUCAGAUUCUCAGUGGUGAGGGUUGCUCAUAACCUCGGGUGUGCUAGUCUUGGUUUGAGCUUUGAACAAUGUUUGAGGAAUCCCACGGUCCAGGUGGGAAAAACAAACGAUCCAUGUCUUGAGCCCCAUGGUGUGCGCUUUCCAGUAGACGGAAGCUCUUGCCAUGUCCUCCUGUAUCAGGACUUGAGGAGAGCACAAAUGAUUCGCGCUUGAAGAUCAAGUCUGGGUGAAGUAUAAAUUGCUAACACCCUCUGCGCUACCCAUGCCUGUUUGUCUGCAAGCCCAGAUCAGAGGAAGCGCAAUCGAUGUCCUCAAACUGCCUCUGGAUCUUCAGUCUCCAGGACUUGACGCAACCCUCCCAAAAGUGUAUCUGCAUACCGUUUAAACGAGUCUCCACCAGGCCUCUGCACGUUUUAUGAAUUCAUGUGCUCUCCAGGUACAUUCAAGCAUCCCUCAAUUCAGCCUACUGCUCCGCAGUCGCCGCUGGUUUCUUUUGUGUUAAUUAGUCACUUGCCAUGCCUUAACAACCCGAGAUCAGAGUCGACGGGGCAGUUUCUCUCUGUUCCACAGCCUUUGAUGAUGGUUUGGUGAGCGGGUCUGGAGCUCAAGAGCUUGUUCGUGCGAUAAAGCGCCGCCCUGAGCUGUUGCUCUUUUUCCCAUCAGCCAGGGAGAACGCGAGCACGGCUGCCCUGCAGUGCCCACAUUGGUUCGUAUUGGCUAUUCUGUUUUUUCCACCAGCAAUCCUCAUUUCCUACAUGAAAGGCACUUACUGUAAUAUUGCCUCAGUAUUUCCUAGAACUGUGGAGGGCGAGUUCCAUUUUUUCAGAAUUCAAGCGUGCCUUUGUGCAGUAUGAGGUAAUGGUGGAUUAAGGAGCGUGAAAGGGAUUUUGGGUUGUGUCAUUGACUAGUUUUUGGCGUGCACAGGUCCCAGUCAGAGGGUCUCUCUAAAUUAUUGAUCAAUGAGACGAGUGGUGAAAACACAGCUUAGCACUAUGCACUCUAUCCCCCCUCCUGCUCUCUUCCAGAUACAUCAAGCCCAAUGUAAAAGCUCCACUGUGCAAAAAAGCCUUCAAGUUCAGUUCAAUUAUUCAGCAUCCCUCCCCGAUUAUGAAUUAUUGAGGUAAAAGCAUGUUCACAUAUAUGGCUGUGCGUCGAGCUCAAGACACAAGUGUCUCAUUGGGAAGAUAAUGAAGAGAGGCUGUAAUUACAAAAGGUGGUUUUAACUUGGAGCAAACGAUUGAAUGCAUUGUGGAGUGAAUGUGAAAUUAAUAUGGACCCCACUAACUUUAAAUUACUGUCAUUAAUUACUCACCCUCAUGUCGUUCCAAGCCCGUAAGAUCUUUGUUCAUCUUCGAAACACAAAUUAAGAUAUUUUUGAUGCAUUCCGUGAGCUCUCUG
ensembl:lncRNA